rnacentral:rRNA from 1 species
AACGCGAAGAACCUUACCCAGACUUGACAUGCAGUGGACAGUCCCAGAGAUGGGAUCUUCCUUCGGGACCGCUGCACAGGUGCUGCAUGGCUGUCGUCAGCUCGUGCCGUGAGGUGUUGGGUUAAGUCCCGCAACGAGCGCAACCCUUAUCAUUAGUUGCCAACACGUAAAGGUGGGAACUCUAAUGAGACUGCCUGGGUUAACCAGGAGGAAGGUGAGGAUGACGUCAAGUCCGCAUGGCCCUUAUGUCUGGGGCUACACACGUGCUACAAUGGUCGGUACAAAAGGCAGCGAAACCGCAAGGGGGAGCAAAUCCGAAAAACCGAUCCCAGUUCAGAUUGUAGCCUGCAACUCGGCUACAUGAAGUUGGAAUUGCUAGUAAUGGCGGGUCAGCAACACCGCCGUGAAUACGUUCCCGGGCCUUGUACACACCGAUACUC